CCUACGGGAGGCUGCAGUGGGGAAUAUUGGACAAUGGGGGCAACCCUGAUCCAGCCAUGCCGCGUGUGUGAAGAAGGCCCUCGGGUUGUAAAGCACUUUCAGUGAGGAAGAACGCCUGGUGGUUAAUACCCAUCAGGAAAGACAUCACUCACAGAAGAAGCACCGGCUAACUCCGUGCCAGCAGCCGCGGUAAUACGGAGGGUGCGAGCGUUAAUCGGAAUUACUGGGCGUAAAGCGCGCGUAGGUGGCUUGAUAAGCCGGUUGUGAAAGCCCCGGGCUCAACCUGGGAACGGCAUCCGGAACCGUCAAGCUAGAGUGCAGGAGAGGAAGGUAGAAUUCCCGGUGUAGCGGUGAAAUGCGUAGAGAUCGGGAGGAAUACCAGUGGCGAAGGCGGCCUUCUGGACUGACACUGACACUGAGGUGCGAAAGCGUGGGUAGCAAACAGGAUUAGAUACCCCGGUAGUC
rnacentral:rRNA from 1 species